AACGAACGCUGGCGGCAUGCCUAACACAUGCAAGUCGAACGAGGCCUUCGGGUCUAGUGGCGCACGGGUGCGUAACGCGUGGGAACCUGCCCUUAGGUUCGGAAUAACUCCCCGAAAGGGGUGCUAAUACCGGAUAAUGUCUUCGGACCAAAGAUUUAUCGCCUUUGGAUGGGCCCGCGUUGGAUUAGCUAGUUGGUAGGGUAAAAGCCUACCAAGGCGACGAUCCAUAGCUGGUCUGAGAGGAUGAUCAGCCACACUGGGACUGAGACACGGCCCAGACUCCUACGGGAGGCAGCAGUGGGGAAUAUUGGACAAUGGGCGAAAGCCUGAUCCAGCAAUACCGCGUGAGUGAUGAAGGCCUUAGGGUUGUAAAGCUCUUUUACCCGGGAUGAUAAUGACAGUACCGGGAGAAUAAGCUCCGGCUAACUCCGUG
rnacentral:rRNA from 1 species